CUAUUUUCAUAUUCACAUCAAAUUCUAUGAAAAAAGAAUUAAUUUUAUACAGAUCCCUGUAAAUAUAGUGAACUAUAAAUAUAUCCCUAUAAAAUUUAACUUUUAUAUGCUGUCUUUGUAAAAGCCCUAAUAUUUUCAAAUAUGUCUCUCUGAAAGAGGACUUUGAAAAUCAGAUCCAAGUGCAUUUUGCCCUCCCCCUACCUUACAAAUAAUUGGCGAAUAAUCAUGCAUCUCUAUUGGCUAAAAAAUAUCAAUCUGUAAGGCGCAUGACGCUUUGAUAUUUAAACUUUAAUUUAUUAUAAUUUUUAGUUUAAACUUCGUAAAUUAUUACAGUUAAUUCCUACAAUCCAUUUUAGUUAAUUAAAUACUAGUGUCGCUGAUUUGAAAGUGAUUCUUACUUUCACAUUAGCUAUACAUGAAUGUUUUACCAACUAAAUUAGAUUGUGAAACUAAUUUAGAAAGUUCGUAUUAAAAAGUGCAAUUAAUAAAUUAAAUUCUGAGGAACAAAAU
rnacentral:lncRNA from 1 species